ensembl:lncRNA
AGAGAACUGGUGCAUGAUUUUUUUGGUCAGAGCUUUUUCUGUGUCUGAAUGUCAACUUUUUCCCUGCUUGACCUUCCCAUUUGGAAAAAGCCCUAAUGAUGUUUUUUCAUUGAUGCAUGUGCUGGACUCCCUCAGACUACUGGCCCUGUAACUACACUCUGUGUCUGGCACCUUCUCAUACUUAAUAUAUUAUUUCCACUUCACAGUACUCAAUUUGUGAAACAGAAACUUAGCUUUAUGCCUGCUGUAUCUUCAGAGGGUUCAUGUAGAAUGAUAUGAGAGACAAAAACUGAAGGAUCCAACUCUAUAAAAAUACACGUGUAGAUGUUGCUGAAAAUUAACCCUUUCAUUCAAAGAGAAUAAAGGUCCAACUCAGGCGUUCUAAGCUAACCCAGACUCGACCUUCUACCUGGAAUAGCUGUAUUGGACAGCACUUAGUCAGAAGAGGAUGGGAUCGUAUCCCUAAAACUGCGGAACAUCCUUGGUGCUGAAUGUGUUCUGGAUGCUGCAAAGAAAUGUGAAGAAGCAACGUAGGGGCACUAAGCAAAUUCAGGCCAGUAGAUGCACUGCUGGCCUGCUCUGCAAGUCAAGUUCUGCAUGAAAUCAUUGCCCACUGAUAGUUUUCACCACAUCCCUUUAAAUUGGAGCUUUCCAGUCAGUGCUGUUAGGGUCUAUUAUGUCUGCUCUUAAUCCAUUAUUAUAUCUGUUCUUAGCCCUUUUCAGGGCUUCUUAAAUGAGGAUGGGUUCUAAAUGUAGAAAUUGUGUGGUUAUCUGGCACGUGAACUAAUCUAAAAGAGUGGAGAAGCAGCACAUAAUGGAGAUGGAGAUAUUAGGAGAAUUGAAAUCAAGGAGAAAUCCAAGACUAGAAACAUCAUUCUGAAUUAUUCUUUAACUUUACUUGGUUAAACUGAAGUAAAACAAAAUGAACAAAGCCAUGAGACAGAAGCUCAAUCUCCUACCAAACGAAUAAUAAUACCAAGCACACACUGAGCUGCUCCGAUCCCAGCACAGAAUCUCUGCCUGCUAUAAACGCUGCUGGAUUUAAAUAUCAAGUAUAUUCAAUGCAUCAACAACAACAAAAUAUAAUCCACGCUAUUUCAUAUGACAAUGCACGGGGUACAAAAAUAGAAAGGCCCGCUCCAUUAAGCUUGCAUCUCAAACUGCACUGAAAUUAUAAUCAACAGCUUCUUCAGGGCAGAGGAAGAGAAAACAAAGGAAGGCAGAAGAAAAUAAAUAAGAUAUAUAUAUAUAAAUAUAUAUAUUGUGUUACUCAGAAGAUGCCUGUUCCAGCCUUUUUUUUUUUUCUGGAUGUGUGCCCUUGUGUGGUCACUGAAGCCAGGCUUUGUUAGUUAUGGGAUCUGAACAUUUACAAAACCACUCUCCUUUCCUGGUGUGACCCACAGAGCUGCAUGCCAGGUUCCACCAACAGGGUCCACUCACGUCCUCCCUGCUCCCUUCCCUGAUGACCAUGUAAAGACAAGGAAAGCCAAGAAUGGAUCCUGCAGGGAUCCAUCCAUGGAUCGGGAAGGCUCAGUGGGCACAAGGGUUGGCUUGGGGUCAGGGAGCUUGACAUUCAGACCAGGUCCCUGUUCUACUUACUGCCUUUCAGCACUCCCUUCUCUUGCCCUGAGGCCAUCGUAGGAUGGCAUUGGUCCCAUCUGGGUGCUUUUGAACAGAUUUUUCAACAGACACCUGAAUAUUACGAAGGCUUUUUUUUUUCCAACUUUAUCACCAAUCAGAACUGGUCAGAGCUACCAUUUCAGAAUUGCCCAGGCAAUCGAAUCAAGCGUAACAUUAAAAGUGUCAAUUUUGUUAGUCCUUUUUUUCUAGUGCUACCUCACCAUUGGGGUGUAGGCAUAGGGCCUACCUUGUUUGAGCAAGGGAAGCUCAGAAAAACCAUUCUCUCUGGUGCUGCUCUCUUUGGAGCAUGUCGAUAAUCUCCAAGCUCCAUCCUCUCAUUUCCCAGCUUCCCUGCAGCUAGAGAAUCUGAAUUCUGUUAUUACAUCUUUUUUUUCAUCAUUGAUUUAUGU